UGAGUGUAGGACACCCCCACAAUGCUGUAGCCUCCUGAUGACUGUGUUGCGAGAAAGCCAACCUUGGGGAGUUGAGAAUUAA